AAUCAACGCUGGCGGCGUGCCUCAGACAUGCAAGUCGAACGCGAAAGGCUCCUUCGGGGGCCGAGUAGAGUGGCGCACGGGUGAGUAACACGUAGGUAAUUUGCCUUUGGGUGGGGAAUAACUCAGGGAAACUUGAGCUAAUACCGCAUAAUGCAGCGGCUCGACAUCGAGACAGUUGUUAAAGCGGGGGAUCGCAAGACCUCGCGCCUGAAGAGAAGCCUGCGGCAGAUUAGCUAGUUGGUAGGGUAAUGGCCUACCAAGGCGACGAUCUGUAACCGGCCUGAGAGGGCGGUCGGUCACACUGACACUGACAUACGGGUCAGACUCCUACGGGAGGCAGCAGUCGGGAAGUUUUGGGUCAAUGGGCGCAAGCCUGACCCAGCAACGCCGCGUGAAGGAUGAAAUCCCUCGGG
rnacentral:rRNA from 1 species